rnacentral:rRNA from 1 species
CACGGCGUAAGAGUGGUUAGAAGAAACCCGUUACUAAAGCCGAACACCCUCAAAGCUGUUAUACGCAUCCGAAGGUGAGAAGCCCAUCCACGAAAGUGGCUUUACAAUCUUGAAUCCACGAAAGCUAUGGUA